rnacentral:rRNA from 1 species
AGCGAACGCUGGCGGUAGGCCUAACACAUGCAAGUCGAACGGCAGCACAGUAAGAGCUUGCCCUUACGGGGGGCGAGUGGCGGACGGGUGAGGAAUACAUCGGAAUCUACUUUUUAGUGGGGGAUAACGUAGGGAAACUUACGCUAAUACCGCAUACGACCUACGGGUGAAAGCAGGGGUUCUUAGGACCGUGCGCGAUUGAAUGAGCCGAUGUCGGGUUAGCUAGUUGGCGGGGUAAAGGCCUACCAAGGCGCCGAUCCGUAGCUGGGCUGAGAGGAUGAUCCGCCACACUGGCACUGAGACACGGCCCAGACUCUUACGGGAGGCAGCAGUGGGGGAUCUUGGACUAUGGGCGAGAGCCAGAUCCAGCUCUGCCUCGUGAGUGAUGAAGUUGUUAGGGUUGUACAGCUCUUUUACCCGGCACGAUAAUGACAGUACCGGGAGAAUAAGCUCCGGCUAACUCCGUG